rnacentral:rRNA from 1 species
CAACUUUCAGCAACGGAUCUCUUGGCUCUCGCAUCGAUGAAGAACGCAGCGAAAUGCGAUAAGUAAUGUGAAUUGCAGAAUUCAGUGAAUCAUCGAAUCUUUGAACGCACCUUGCGCUCCUUGGUAUUCCGAGGAGCACACCUGUUUGAGUGUCAUGA